CUGGCUCAGGACGAACGCUGGCGGCGUGCCUAAUACAUGCAAGUCGAGCGGAUUAAAUUGGAGCUUGCUCCAAUUUAGUUAGCGGCGGACGGGUGAGUAACACGUGGGCAAUCUGCCCGUAAGACUGGGAUAACUUCCGGGAAACCGGGGCUAAUACCGGAUAAUCCCGACUCUCUCCUGAGAGUCGGUUGAAAGAUGGUUUCGGCUAUCACUUACGGAUGAGCCCGCGGCGCAUUAGCUAGUUGGUGAGGUAAUGGCUCACCAAGGCGACGAUGCGUAGCCGACCUGAGAGGGUGAUCGGCCACACUGGGACUGAGACACGGCCCAGACUCCUACGGGAGGCAGCAGUAGGGAAUCUUCCGCAAUGGACGAAAGUCUGACGGAGCAACGCCGCGUGAGUGAUGAAGGUUUUCGGAUCGUAAAACUCUGUUGUUAGGGAAGAACACGUACGAGAGUAACUGCUCGACCUUGACCGGACCUAACCAG
rnacentral:rRNA from 1 species